GAUCAGAUAACACUUCGUCGGUGUGUUGUUUUCCGGUCUAGAACAAUUAGCGAUCUCAUCAUGUGGCGGGAAAGUGCAUUCUUGGAUAUGUGCGGGGAGGAAAAGUUGGUAAUGUUCGUGCUCAUUUGAAAGGAUUGAUAUUAUAUGCAAAUAGAAAAGUGGUAAUUUCUUCAGAUUUUAAAAAUAUGUUUUCUUUGUUUAUAAAUUGAAAUUGCAACAGUAAAAAUGCAUGAUAGUGAUGAAGAAUUUCAAUAUGAUUAUGUCGUUUUGUUGGAUGUUCACAGAACACUUGGCAUAUAUAUAGGAUUAUUCAACAGGAAUGUUAUGUAAAUAGUGUGUUACCGAGUACGGCACCUUUCCUUAGGACGUUCCGCAACACGCGAGUCCGCCAGAGUCACUUGUUUGAAGACGAAUUUGCUGUCGCUGAUGUCAUUGUUUCUAAGACCAACAACUGUCCCGCAACAACGCACCGAGUCUGCGAGUGACAUUUACAACAAGUCCCAGAUGGCGAAAUAUAGAUGAGGAUCCCUGCUGAUUUUCUCAGUGGCCAGUGUGCUGAUCCCGCCACCCCUACACAAGCAAACCCCCGCCGAUCAAACCAAAGCGGGCCCGCACGCAACACGACCCCACCCCGAGCCCCAAACCGCGGAAUCAAUCGAGAUUAGCGCUCCCAAAUCCACCCUCUCGCUGCCUGUGGCAACAGAUAAGUCCAAGAUCGACCAAGGAGCUCCACAGACAUCCAUACCGAUAAUCACGCCGCUUACCGGCAUUUUAUACUUCUGUUUGAGCUACAUUAGCGUUCUCCGGUGUGGUCUAGUGGUUAGGAUUCAUGGUGUUCACCCAGGCGGCCCGGGUACGAUUCCCGGCCCCGGAAAUAUAUUUUUUAGAAUGACUUAUUAAGAAUGAUGUGGGGUCACUCGAAAGAAAACGGUGUAACUUUAUAUUGCCUCGAAUUCUAUCAGUUCGAAGACGCUAUACACCUAACAUUCAUUUGGUAUAGCAGUAUAUUGUAUAGUAUAAAGUUAGCAGAAAAGAAGGUUGUUGCAAACUCCUAGCUAUCUCAAUUAAAUCGGGUUGUGAUCGUCGAGUUAUUUUACCAAUACGACCUGUGUUCGAAACCCGUCAACAUAGUAGUCGUUUUUUUCGAAAAUAUUUUAAUCUAGAUAAAGAAGAUCGUUUCAGAUCAAUCAAAAUAUGAAUUGAUUAAAAAGUCAACAACAAAAUAACAUAUUGAGUAAACAAUCAAAAGUUAAUUUGCAUAUUACAAAUGAAUUGAAUUUCUAUUUUCAGUAUGACUGAAAUUCUUGUUAUUUUUCAUCUUUAUGUAAUCGUAUCAUUUUACAAAUGUAUAUGCAUAGGUGCAGUUUACUGUUCGCUUAAUAUGUAUUGAGUUCACGAUAGCCACGUGCACACGUAUUUGUAAUAGCUUGUUUCAAAAACGUGUACUAAAUAACAUUUAUGUAUAACAAAUUAGAUUAUGUAUUGCAGAGGACCCCUGCUGAUUUUAAUCUUCCGACCUUCUAUAAAUGUCAUGUAACAUACGUACACUCAUGCUACGUGCCUUUAUAUAUUCGUACCAAAACGAUAUUUAGUGAAUUGUUAAGUUGCUUUUAGCUUACGUGAGCACAAUGUGCUCAUGGUGAGCUUUUGUGAUGGCCUUUUGUGCUCGUCCGUCGUGGUCGUGCGGCGUCAGCAUUUGCCUUUUAACACUUAAGAGGCCACAUUUAUUGUACGAUCUUCAUGAAAUUUGCUCAGAAGAGUUGUGCCAAUGAUUUCUUCGACGAUGGUACCGGUUGGUUGAACAACCAAGCCGCCAGGGGGCGGGGCCUUUUUUCUCUAUAUAGCUAUAUUAAAAACUUGUUAACACUCCAAAAGUUACAUUCAUAGUUCACUCUUCAUGAAAUUUGGUCAGAACAUUUGUUCUAAUGAUAUCUUGGGCUGCACUGAAAAGGUCAGUUCCUGUGUAUUUCAGGUGAGCGACUUUGGGCCUUUCAGGCCCUCUUGUUUCGCCUUGAAUGCCCACGGAAUAGUAAUUUAUUUUAUCGAAUACGAUUAUAAUAUGGAUUGAAUAUAAUAGAAAUGAUACAGUUAAAUUAAUCGUUAUUACUAGAAGGUAACAUACAUGAAUCAUUAUAAACAUUGAAAUAAAUCCUUAAUUUAAACAAUUCAUAUCUGUCAAUUCAUUUUUAAUACUUUUAUUAAAUGGUUUGAUUUUCGUAAGUGAAAUUUACCAGCGCACCGACCCAAGGACUCCAAACAUAGAAUCAAAAUUGGUAUGGACUAAGUGCAUCUAAUGACCGGUGUUUGACCAGCGGUAUUCACAACAAUAUCAAUCAUCUGACCACAGCCAACAACUUCUUUUUUCACACAGUCAUCCUGAUCCGGUGUGGUCUAGUGGUUAGGAUUCCUGGUUUUCACCCAGGCGGCCCGGGUUCGAUUCCCGGCACCGGAAGUAUCCUUUUUCAAUUUUGGAAAUAUCAUAAUGUGAUUUAGUUUCGCUUAACUGGAAAGAGAAUAUCAUAGCCUUCCGCUGACGCGAAUCCGGAGACGCUAUAAACAUAAUAUUAAUUUUGUACAGUAGUAUUGGAUCCCUGCAGAUCUUCAACAUAACAACCGUCCAUCAAUGUUAUAUAACAUCGGAA